UUGAAGAUCUUAUGUUAUGAUGAAGAUGGGAAAGUAACAAAUGAAGCUAUAAAUGUAGUGUAUAGAGAAGUUUUCCGAAAUUUAGAGGAUAGAAGUUUUGAAUGAGUAAGUAUCAAAUGAGUAGCAACAAUGACAAGUUCAGUGUACAUACUCAGUACAUAGUUGCUCAUACUACAGAGAAAGAUAAAGUUGAAUGAGGUAAACAUUCUUCCAAAUUUACUUUACUUUGAUAUAUCAUGUUGCAGCUUAGUCACAUGUACUUUAUUUUUUAAUUAAUCUAUCAAUUAGGUUAGGUGGUUGGUCGACAAUUUAUUAAGCUUAGUCACAUGUACUUUAUUUUGUUAAUUAAUCUAUCAAUUAGGUUAGGUGGUUGGUCGACAGUUUAUUACUUU
rnacentral:lncRNA from 1 species